GAUGAACGCUAGCGGCAGGCCUAAUACAUGCAAGUCGAGGGGUAGAAGAGGCUUGCUUCUUUGAGACCGGCGCGCGGGUGCGUAACGCGUAUGCAACCUACCUUCAUCUGGGGGAUAGCCCGGAGAAAUCCGGAUUAAUACCGCAUAAAAUCACAGGAUGGCAUUAUCCAAUGAUCAAACAUUUAUGGGAUGGAGAUGGGCAUGCGUGUCAUUAGCUAGUUGGCGGGGUAAGGGCCCACCAAGGCGACGAUGACUAGGGGAUCUGAGAGGAUGGCCCCCCAAGUUAGUACUUAGACGCGGACCAGACCCCUACGGGAGGAAGCAGAAAGGAAUAUUGGUCAAUGGAGGCAACUCUGAACCAGCCAUGCCGCGUGCAGGAAGACUGCCCUAUGGGUUGUAAACUGCUUUUAUUCGGGAAUAAACCUUAUUACGUGUAAUAAGCUGAAUGUACCGAAGGAAUAAGGAUCGGCUAACUCCGUGCCAGCAGCCGCCGUAA
rnacentral:rRNA from 1 species